UACGGGGGGUGCGAGCGUUGUCCGGAAUCACUGGGCGUAAAGAGCGUGUAGGCGGCCACACAGGUCUGCUGUGAAAACUCGAGGCUCAACCUCGAGCUGUCGGUGGAAACCGUGUGGCUAGAGUCCGGAAGAGGAGAGUGGAAUUCCCGGUGUAGCGGUGAAAUGCGCAGAUAUCGGGAAGAACACCCGUGGCGAAGGCGGCUCUCUGGGACGGUACUGACGCUGAGACGCGAAAGCGUGGGGAGCGAACAGG
rnacentral:rRNA from 1 species